rnacentral:rRNA from 1 species
GCUGAGGUGUGAUGACGAGGCACUACGGUGCUGAAGUAACAAAUGCCCUGCUUCCAGGAAAAGCCUCUAAGCAUCAGGUAACAUUAAAUCGUACCCCAAACCGACACAGGUGGUCAGGUAGAGAAUACCAAGGCGCUUGAGAGAACUCGGGUGAAGGAACUAGGCAAAAUGGUGCCGUAACUUCGGGAGAAGGCACGCUGGUGUGUAGGUGAAGUCCCUGCGGAUGGAGCUGAGACCAGUCGAAGAUACCAGCUGGCUGCAACUGUUUAUUAAAAACACAGCACUGUGCAAACACGAAAGUGGACGUAUACGGUGUGACGCCUGCCCGGUGCCGGAAGGUUAAUUGAUGGGGUUAUCCGUAAGGAGAAGCUCUUGAUCGAAGCCCCGGUAAACGGCGGCCGUAACUAUAACGGUCCUAAGGUAGCGAAAUUCCUUGUCGGGUAAGUUCCGACCUGCACGAAUGGCGUAAUGAUGGCCAGGCUGUCUCCACCCGAGACUCAGUGAAAUUGAACUCGCUGUGAAGAUGCAGUGUACCCGCGGCAAGACGGAAAGACCCCGUGAACCUUUACUAUAGCUUGACACUGAACAUUGAGCCUUGAUGUGUAGGAUAGGUGGGAGGCUUUGAAGCGUGGACGCCAGUCUGCGUGGAGCCAACCUUGAAAUACCACCCUUUAAUGUUUGAUGUUCUAACGUUGGCCCCUGACCGGGGUUGCGGACAGUGUCUGGUGGGUAGUUUGACUGGGGCGGUCUCCUCCCAAAGCGUAACGGAGGAGCACGAAGGUUAGCUAAUCCUGGUCGGACAUCAGGAGGUUAGUGCAAUGGCAUAAGCUAGCUUGACUGCGAGCGUGACGGCGCGAGCAGGUGCGAAAGCAGGUCAUAGUGAUCCGGUGGUUCUGAAUGGAAGGGCCAUCGCUCAACGGAUAAAAGGUACUCCGGGGAUAACAGGCUGAUACCGCCCAAGAGUUCAUAUCGACGGCGGUGUUUGGCACCUCGAUGUCGGCUCAUCACAUCCUGGGGCUGAAGUAGGUCCCAAGGGUAUGGCUGUUCGCCAUUUAAAGUGGUACGCGAGCUGGGUUUAGAACGUCGUGAGACAGUUCGGUCCCUAUCUGCCGUGGGCGCUGGAGAAUUGAGGGGGGCUGCUCCUAGUACGAGAGGACCGGAGUGGACGCAUCACUGGUGUUCGGGUUGUCAUGCCAAUGGCACUGCCCGGUAGCUAAAUGCGGAAGAGAUAAGUGCUGAAAGCAUCUAAGCACGAAACUUGCCCCGAGAUGAGUUCUCCCUGAGACUUUAAGUCUCCUGAAGGAACGUUGAAGACGACGACGUUGAUAGGCCGGGUGUGUAAGCGCAGCGAUGCGUUGAGCUAACCGGUACUAAUGAACCGUGAGGCUUAACCUU